rnacentral:rRNA from 1 species
CCCUUAGAUGUUCUGGGCCGCACGCGCGCUACACUGACGAAUGCAACGAGCUUAUAACCUUGGCCGAAAGGUCUGGGUAAUCUCCAAAAUUCGUCGUGAUGGGGAUAGAUUAUUGCAAUUAUUAAUCUUCAACGAGGAAUGCCUAGUAAGCGCAAGUCAUCAGCUUGCGUUGAUUACGUCCCUGCCCUUUGUACACACCGCCCGUCGCUCCUACCGAUUGAAUGGUCCGGUGAAGCGUUUGGACUAUGGUUUUCUGACGGUUCGCCAUUGGAUUACCGUGGGAAAUUCGUUAAACCUUAUCAUUUAGAGGAAGGAGAAGUCGUAACA